GAUGAACGCUGGCGGCGUGCCUAAUACAUGCAAGUCGAGCGAAGCGGGGACGGGUGAGUAACACGUUGAUACCCUCCUUUAAGACUGGGAUACCUUCGGGAAACCGGACCUAAACCCGCCAAUUAUAGCUGGAUCCUCGCUGCAUUAGCUAGUUUGUAAGGUAACGGCUUACCACGUCAACGAUGAAUAGCCGACCUGAGAGGGUGAUCGGACACACGGGAACUGAGACACGGUACAGACUCCAACGGGAGGCAGACGUAGGGAAUCUUCCGCAAUGGGCGAAAGCCUGACGGAGCAACGCCGAGUGAGUGAAGAAGGUCUUCGGAUCGUAAAACUCUGUUAUUAGGGAAGCGGUACCUAAUCAGAAAGCCACGGCUAACUACGUGCCAGCAGCCGCGGUAAUAC
rnacentral:rRNA from 1 species